UCAAGUGUGAAUUACGACAAGACCACUAUGAUAUUUGGAAUACUCAUCAAGAAAGGAUUGAUAAUACUCCUCCAAGCGUAAAGUCAGAAGAUUGGAUAAAAUUCUAUGAACAUGAGAACAAUGCUGCUGUACAAAGUAAAAGAGCUGCUAAUAAGAGGAAAAAAGAACAAUAUGAUUACUCUCAUACCUCUGGUCGCAAGCCACAUUGUUUGGUGAAAGCUGGACUGGAGGCGGCGAACCCUGAAGCAGAAAUCACUACCUCUGAUGUGUGGAUUAAAUCUCAUUCACAGGAGGGUGGGGUGAUUUUACCUAGUGCCAACCAUACUAUGAACAACUUAUGAAAGUUUUAGAGGACAUCAAGGGAAAACUUGUAGCAGGUACUCCAG